rnacentral:rRNA from 1 species
GACGUAGGGGGCGAGCGUUGUCCGGAUUUACUGGGCGUAAAGAGCGCGUAGGCGGUCUGUUAAGUCAGAAGUGAAAUCUCCAGGGCUCAACUCGGAAACUGCUUUUGAUACUGUCAGACUGGAGUGUCGGAGAGGUAAUUGGAAUUCCUGGUGUAGCGGUGACAUGCAUUGAUAUCAGGAGGAACACCCAUGGCGAAGGCAGAUUACUGGCCGACAACUGACGCUGAGGCGUGAAAGCGUGGGUAGCAAACAGA